GACGAACGCUAGCGGCGUGCUUAACACAUGCAAGUCGAGCGGAAAGGCCCUUUCGGGGGUACUCGAGCGGCGAACGGGGGAGUAACACGUGAGUAAUCUGCCUCUGGCUUCGGGAUAGCCACCGGAAACGGUGAUUAAUACCGGAUACGACACAUCGCUGCAUGGCGUGUGUGUGGAAAGUUUUUUCGGCCAGGGAUGUGCUCGCGGCCUAUCAGCUUGUUGGUGGGGUAAUGGCCUACCAAGGCUUCGACGGGUAGCCGGCCUGAGAGGGUGACCGGCCACACUGGGACUGAGACACGGCCCAGACUCCUACGGGAGGCAGCAGUGGGGAAUAUUGGACAAUGGGCGGAAGCCUGAUCCAGCAACGCCGCGUGAGGGAUGACGGCCUUCGGGUUGUAAACCUCUUUCAGCACAGACGAAGCGCAAGUGACGGUAUGUGCAGAAGAAGGACCGGCCAACUACGUGCCAGCCGCCGCAUAAAAC
rnacentral:rRNA from 1 species